ensembl:lncRNA
UGUGCGGCCUUUUUUCAAUUGGCCCUGUACCUUUGUCGCUUAUAUAUUGUGAGAUAAGUGUUCCUGUUGCAUCACGUCUUUCUAGUUUAGCAGAUGAUGAAGUCCGUAGUUUGCUUCUGUGUUAUCAAAUGUUGCUUCUGUCUGAUUUAUGGGAUUGACUUUGAAUUUUCAUGUCAGCCUUUUUCCACAGUGUUUUAGUGGCGUAGUUGUGUAUGAAGCAAAACCAAUUGUGCCGACGGCAUGUUGAUAGUUUGAGAGUGUUGUCGGCUCAAGUUUAUAUCGUACGUGUAUAAUUUACUUGUGUGUGGCAUGGUUCAUUGUUUUUUAUAUUUGUGCGGUCUGAGGAGAAUGAAGGUCUUUGAAUUUGUGGCAGUUAAUACAGGCUGUGGUGCCCAUAUCAAAAACAGUGUUUCUAUGUCAUACUUUCAGCCAAGACCCCUGAAACUUCGACCACAGCUGCCAUAGACAAACACAACAGGCAGGAGAUAUAUGAAACAGUAGAAGCUGUGACUGUGCUAACUACUGGACAGACGCCUAAAGAGCAGCUCCUCAAACAGGACAUUCAGAGAGAUUCACAAGAGAUGAAAUUGGGAGGUGAAGUGGAGAAGACAGCUGCUGGAGUAUCUGUGAAACAAGAAACAGAGAAGCUGGGGACCAAAGGGCCAGAAAAAGGUACGCAAGGAUUUGUCCUGGCUUCCUGCUUCUUCCUUGUUUCCUGUCACAACGCCAUAUGCUUUGUGUCACCAGAUGCAGGUGUUCUUGCUGUAAUUGUUUGGUGUAUUACAUUAGUUGUUCUUUGUUUGUUUUGCUGUUAGGAGUUGGCAAUGGACAAAAUAAUAAGUUUUAUUUUACAGAAUGAAUAGGGAAAGGUUGUGUAAUACUGAAUUAUAUUCGAUAUUGUAUUAAUAUCCUGCUGCUGUGUGGUAUUUGUCUUUGCUUUGCAGUACCUCGUGUUUUUGGGGUUUUUUGUUUGUGUUUCUUGUGCCUUUUGGUGGAAGUGACAUGAUUUAAAUACUGUAGCAAGUAAAAAAAUUUAAGCACUAUUAUCAUAUGCAACUGUCAUGCUGCUCUGUGAAUCUAAAAGCGUAUUGUGGCUUGCGAGACUGUGCUUGAGCGUAUAUUGGUGUGUUGCAUGGUUCGUAAAUAUUGAUAUCCUUCAAAAGCUCCAUUCACAGUUCAGUGAUGAUACAGACACAAAGGAUACAAAGGAUUAAAGUGAAUUUAAUUACAUGAAGACACAUGAUAUGUGUUCAUCAAAUGCUUACUGGAUGAACAGAUUCUGAAGAUGAGAUUUCUUGCUGUUGGCUCUGAUUAUAUAUAAUGAUUUUGCUUAAUCAGGCUUCAAUGUUUUAUCGCAACAGUGAGGAAAUAAAAUGCUUCAGCAGCUGUUGUAUUACAGACUAAAGAGCCAAGCAAGGUUUAGCUGAGUGUAAUUUUUUCCUCUGAACGCUCAUCCUCUAUGUGGUUGUUUUGGUUGCCAUUUGUCACGAUGCCACCAUCGUCUCUUGUUGGGGAAAUAGUUCUUGGUCAUGGCACUGUCUGGUUGUUUUGCUCUGUUACGUGUUCAUUUGAGAAAAAUCCAAAUCAAGUCCCUGUGGUAUUUGUCUUGGACAUCGUGGCUCUAACAUCUGUGGCACGUGGCUUUUGAUCUGUUGCAUUGUUCAGUCUGUGGGUGAAGAUUGUAAUUGAAAUAAACAUCUAUGUCAUUAUAUGUCUAUUAAUAACUUGCAGCAGAGAAAUCACAAGCCUCAGCACUGACCUCCAAAGUGGAUCCUGAGAAGCAGGAAUCCAAAAAGAGAGUUGAAGGUAUGUGCCAGUUUUAUCAAGAAGUCGGAGUCGGAGUUCUGUUUUUGUUCAGUAGGUUUUUAGGGAUGCUGGGGUUUUGCCAAAGCACAUGCUGUGAUGGCAGAUGCAACACCUCCAAACUGUUAUGAUGUGAAAUUGCAUCUUUGUGUCUUGAGGGUUUUGUCAAAAGUCUGGCUCAUUUGUUCUUUGUUCGCCAUUGCUUUCAGUAUUAUUGGUGUUUUUUUCAUUCUUUGCUGCUUUCUCUUCGUCUUAAAUCCCACAAUUAUUCUUGGAUUUGUGGUACUCGGUGUUUCUCACAGCAGAUAUUUAAGGUGCAAUCACGUUUAAUAACUCUACACUCGCCCAGACACAAUAUCCUGCUGUUUAUGAAUUUAUCCUGGAUACCAAAGUUAUCGGAGAAGGACGAAUUUUUUUGACACUCGCAUAUUGCUUCCCCUUUGUUCAGUUGUGUUUUCCUUGUGGGUAUUUUGUAAUGCUGGAUAUUCAAUCUAGCUUGUUGCUGUUCACUUCGCAUUCACUUGUGAAUGCUUCAUUUGCUGUAUUCAGGAUUGUUGUUGCCUCCAGAGAGGAAUAAUGAAGAGCUGGGUUUGAGAGGCCUUGAUAAGCACUUAGAUGCUGAUCAUUGGCUGUGCUGCGUUGUUGUCUGUGUGUAAUGACUGUACAUUUAUUGUUUGUGUCUACAUAUUAAAGCAGGCAACAUUUUUGCUUUCCUUUAUUUUUUCUAUUUUUGUUUUUACUUAAUCAUAUGCUCAGUCAGGUAAGUUAAAAACUAACAUCCAUACUGUUUUCUGCAUCUAUCCAACCUGAAGACCUGUGGGUUACAACAGUUGCACACCAACUCCUUAUCUCAUGUAUUCAAUCUCCAGUUCUUCCAGCCAUAGUCCUUCGAGACCUAGAGAGUCUGGUUGCCGAGGAGGGCGGUAGUGUUACGCUACAUUGUGAGCUUUCUAAACCUGGACUCACUGUCGAGUGGAAGAAGGGAACUCAAGUCCUGAGUGCUGGAGGAAAGUACCAGAUGAGACAAACAGGAUUCACUUAUGAGCUACAGAUCAACGACUUGACACCUGGAGACACAGGAAACUACUCAUGCUGUUCAGACGACAUGAUGAGCUCAGCCUCUCUUGCAGUGAAUGGUAGGAUGGAGACCAUAUCGUCAUCUCACGCUGUCUUCUCGUCUCUUGAUUCAUUCUUCUUCAUAUCACUGCAUUUCGUCUAAGCCAUUCUUGACCUUGCGCUGUAGAUAAAAAAAGACUGCUGACUUCUUUUCAUCCAUCAGCUGCCCCAGUCAUAUUUACAAAAGAGCUGGAAAGCCUUACGGCCGACGAGGGGGACAGUGUCACCCUGCACUGUGAGCUUUCUAAACCCGGUGUUCCUUUGGAGUGGAGGAAAGGGGAACUUGGUCUUUGUCCUUGUGCCAAGUAUGAAAUCAGACACACGGGACAACUGGCCACGCUAAUAAUCCGUGAUGUAGACCCAGAGGAUUCUGGGAGUUACUCGUGUGACGCUGGUGACCGUCAAAGCACUGCACACCUAGCUGUGACGGGUACGCCUCGCCUGAUGGAAACUGUUGAGUUGCUUGUCUAAAAGGCUACUUCAUAAUCUUAGUCCCUUCUUUAACUAGGGAUUUGUAACAAGAAAGGACUUGACCUUUUAUUAUUGUAAAUAUUACACAUCGAAAGUACAACAGUACUUACUCUGUAUAUUCAAAUUAUGAAAAGAUAAGGUUUUUGAUACUUUAUUUGGUCACAUCAGUGUGUGAUUUAAAACCAAAGCCUCAAGAGAGGCUUAAUUAUGCUUAAGCUAUGUUAGACUGUCACUGACUCAGAGUUUUUUCUCAGUUGUCCUAAUUUUUCCCCCCUCCUCAUUUCUUCAAUAUCCCCCUACAGCCCAGCCUGUCUUUUUCAAAACCCAGCUGCAGAACCUUGAAAGACAGGCAGGGGGGGUUGCGAGGCUUCGCUGUGAGACCACAAAACCUGGAGCCAGUGUGGUCUGGAGGUGUGGUGGUGACAGUGUGCUGGAAUCCAGCAGCAAGUAUCACCUGAAACAGGAAGGGGCCGUAGUCGAGCUUGUCAUCUAUAAACUGCGGGGAGCGGACUCGGGCGAAUACUCCUGUGAUACAGGCAGCCAGAGGACCUCAGCUGUCCUCACGGUGAAGGGUAGGCUCUGUCUAUUUCAUUAACUCUGUCUGGAGUUAAAUGUCUUCUUGCGUGUCCUUCAUCACUCCGUCUUGUUGAUUGUCUUCUCACAAAGCAACAACCUUUCAUCUGGAGAUCCUGUUUCUGGGGUCUUCUUGACUGCAUUCACAUGUUCAAGCAGUAUUUCUCAUCCCACCGAUGUUCUUGUUUUGCCGUGAGCACUUGGUCACUUAUCUGCACAACCACUUUUUUUUGUUAUCGAGCUCGAUCACUGAUCUCAUCUCAUCGUUUUUGUGCCUGUCUCUUGUUACUUCCUCACUAAGAUUAACAC